ACGCUUUCACUUUUGGUUGAGUAAUGUUUAACUAGCUUCCGGUGAUGACGAAACGGCCGGUACACGAACAAAAACUAAAAAUUUAGCGCAACCCUGAAACUUGUUGCAGGUUUCAUGCACGCGAACAAGAAAACAAGACUGGAAAAAUUCCGUCUGUCGUUUGCCAGCAUGUGAGAGUGCUGUUUAUCUGCAUGGGUCCAUCAUGUUCCUGCUGCGGAUGUUCUUGAAAUGCAAAGUGGCGUUACCCCAGAUGUCUGCGGGCGGACCACCGACAAUCAAUGUGAGACAAAUGAUGUGGUCCUGAUGGCUUCAUCUGACCGGGAUCUUCAGCUCUCACUGGAUCGGUUCGCAGCCGAGUGUGAAGCGACCGGAAUGAGAAUCAGCACCUCCAAGUCCGAGUCCAUGGUUCUCGCCCGGAAAAAGGUGGAGUGCCAUCUCCGGGUUGGGGAGGAGACCCUGCCCCAAGUGGAGGAGUUCAAAUACCUUGGAGUCUUGUUCACUUCACAAGUGGGGGAAGAGUGGAUCGUGAGAUUGACAGGUGGAUCGGUGCGGCGUCUUCAGUAAUGCAGACGUUGUAUCGAUCCGUCGUGGUGAAGAAGGAGCUGAGCCGGAAGGCAAAGCUCUCAAUUUACCAGUCGAUCUACGUUCCCAUCCUCACCUAUGGUCAUGAGCUUUGGGUCAUGACCGAAAGGAUAAGAUCACGGGUACAAGCGGCCGAAAUGAGUUUCCUCCGCCGGGUGGCGGUGCUCUCUCUUAGAGAUAGGGUGAGAAGCUCUGCCAUCCAGGAGGAGCUCAAAGUAAAGCCGCUGCUCCUCCACAUUGGUGGUCAGGAUGCCACCCGAACGCCUCCCUAGGGAGGUGUUUAGAGCACGUCCAACCGGUAGGAGGCCACGGGGAAGACCCAGGACACGUUGGGAAGACUAUGUCUCCCGGCUGGCCUGGGAACACCUCGGGAUCCCCCGGGAAGAGCUGGACGAAGUGGCUGGGGAGAGGGAAGUCUGGGCUUCCCUGCUUAAGCUGCUGCCCCCGCGACCCGACCUCAGAUAAGCGGAAAAAGAUGGAUGGAUGGAACGGCAGACAGAAAUACCCAUUUUUAUAUAUAUAUAUAUAUAUAUAGAUUUAUUUAUUAAAAGUAAAUUGAGCAAAUUGGCUAUUUCUGGCAAUUUAUUUAAGUGUGUAUCAAACUGGUAGCCCUUCGCAUUAAUCAGUACCCAAGAAGCAGCUCUUGGUCUCAAAAAGGUUGGUGAACCCUGAGGUAAGAUAACGUGUCACUUAUCAUCUGGCAACCCUGGUCCUGUGAGGUAGCUGCCCGUCCACCUCCAUUGACUACACGGGAGCGUCAUUAAAAACAUGGAGCUUGUUGUGAGCAGCGUUUUGUAGACAAUUGGUGUAUUUAAGGUGGUUAUUGGUGAAAAUGCAAAGGUAGAGUAGAGAAAAGAAGCUUGAAGGAGCGAGCAGCCACGCAGGCACUCACAUAACAAUCCUUCUUUCAUGACGUCACUGCUUUUUUUUUUUUUUUUACUUCAACACAGCAAGCGUUGACACAACUGCUAAUUUAAUGACACAUACGUGCGACGUUGUUAGUAAGAAUGUAAUAAUUCAAGUGAAUAUGCGGCUAUGUUUGUACAAAGGUCAUAAUUAAAGUGUUACUUUUGUGUCAACGUCAGCUAGCUGCUUCCAUGCACUUACAGGCUAGCGAGGAAGCUAAUGUGUCGUCUUCUCACCUUGCCGUCAUAUGCUGGCCAUCUUUCAGGAAUGACGCUCUCGACAAUGUUUCCCCCACUGGAGUUGUUGGCAAUAGAUGUUGGUGUUUUCACUGCUUUUGGCCUUUUUUUCUCCCCGGAUUUGCUGCUUCACUUCCGAAACACUUCUAUCGGCUUCUGUUGUCAGUGUUGAGUACACUCUGCGCAGGCGCAAGAGGUCGCUGUUGCAUUCAAACGUGUCGGACAUAAAGGAUCUCUGUGUCGGAGCACAAACUCUUAAUGUUUUAUGCUUUAUCGAAUAACUAGCAAUUUUUACACAGUAGCGACUUUUUGAUAAUAUCACAAUGUAUUAAAUGAAAAAUUCAUUUAUAAUUAUAAAUAAAUAUGUAACAAUAUGCUAUAAAGGGCCGCGGCAAAACACAAGAGUGUACGCAAAGGGUGCCUUGCUCGCCACGCCCCUUGAGCAGAAACUUCCGGGAUUAAAAAUAAUGU